AAACAUGCAGUUCUUGAAAUUUUGACUUUUCAAUGUAUGUACUAAUAAUUGAUCCAUCUUUAUUUUUAUCCAGAAGUCUUUUAACCAUCGUAAGAGCAUCUCGUUGGAUAAUAACCUCUUGGAGCUCUAGAUUCAGAGGCGAAGCUAGGGGCUGGUAGAGACCCGGCUCCCCCUAAAAUAUAAAAUUGUUAUUUAGGCCCUUAAAAUUUUUUAAAAAUUUUAAAUUAGUAAAAGUAAAAUUAUAUUUUGGCCCUAAAAUUAUAAAAAAUCAAUUUAAUUUUUUAUAAAUUAUAAAGAUAUAAACUAUAAAAAAUUAAAAUUUUAUCCGCUCCUAAAAAUUUGUUCUAGCUUCACCCUCUCCAGAUCUAGCCCCAACCGAACUGCUUGAAGGCAUGCUAGAGCCUCCACAGCAAACUCAGUAGAGAGUGCUUUUGAAAUGCUGCAUCAUAAUUAAUCUUAAUGAAAUCGCCACCCGGAGGACUCCAUCUGACCUCUGAUUCAAUUAUAUUUGCAGACGACCUGGCCCUUAGAGCAUUGAGUUCACCAAUGUAAGCUCCUACUUUAGCAAUUAUCUCCUAUGGCGUUUGUGCGUCUCUAUCAUGGAUCAAUCUAUUCCUUGAUGCCCACAAAAACCAUAUAGCAUACAUUAUUACCCUACAGGUUUAAGAUUCAGAAUCGAGUGAAGUUGAGUCCACAUAGUGACUUGUAUAUUAGUUUAAGAUUCGUACUCAAUGUGUAUGAAAACCUGUAGAAUUAUUAUUAUUCUUAAAUUAUGUAUCUGACUAUUGGAUAUAUAGUUUAGUAUCCUACCAUCGUUGCUUGAAGAAAAUAUUAAAA